AGCGAACGCUGGCGGCAGGCUUAACACAUGCAAGUCGAGCGCCCCGCAAGGGGAGCGGCAGACGGGAGAGUAACACGUGGGAACAUACCUUUUGGUGCGGAACAACUGAGAGAAACUUCAGCUAAUACCGGACAAGCCCUUACAGGGGAAGAGUUAUCGCCGAAAGAUUGGCCCGCGUCUGAUUAGCUAGUUGGUGAGGUGACGGCUCACCAAGGCGACGAGCAGUAGCUGGUCUGAGAGGAUGAUCAGCCUCACGGGGACUGCGACACGGCCCAGACUCCUACGGGACGCAGCAGUGGGGAAUAUUGGAGAAUGGGGGCAACCCUGAUCCAGCCAUGCCGCGUGAGUGAUGAAGGCCUUAGGGUUGUAAAGCUCUUUUGCCCGGGAAGAUAAUGACGGUACCGGGAGAAUAAGCCCCGGCUAACUUCGUG
rnacentral:rRNA from 1 species